rnacentral:lncRNA from 1 species
CCCUGGGCAACAAGAGCAAAACUCUUGUCUCAAAAAAUAAAAAUAAAGAGAAGAAAUGUAAUUGCAUUUUUUGCUGUCCCCUCACCACCUCUUCAUCACUUGGUCCAAGGAAACAAGAGAAAAGUGUUUUGAUCACCAAGAUGGAAAAGGAAUCCCAAUUCUUUUACUCAUUUAAUGCCUCAAAUUUCACGUGUAAAGGGUAAAAACCUGGUCUACAGCUUAUCUUGGCUAAUAAGCUAAACACACCAUGUUAAUGAGAGAAGCUAACAUUGUCAAAUGUCAUUUUGUUUUGCUACUUCCUGCAGAAGAAUACUGUUUGUUUAUCAUAUGUCAAAUAGCUUAAUAGAGAUACUAACUUACAUCUUUAAAAUCCCCCACAACUAUCUUGUGACUAGUUUUAUUCCCUUCCACCUUAUAAAACCAAGCCUCCAUCCAAUUAAUCCCACCUGGCUAGAAACAGCUAUUCUGGAAGAAAUGUGAUAAAGUUCUGCUUUUCGGUGAAGAGAGAAGAGAGUGUGCCAUUCGAGCACUGUGAGUUGAUCAGAGCAACCUGGGCUGGAAAGCAGGCAAAUCAGAGGGAGGCCUGAAAAGGUCAGAGGGAGGGUUGGAAGUGAUUAUUCAUCACACCAGCCUGGUCCUUUUUUGCCUACACCUGCCAGGAAACUCAAAAAGUGUUUGCAUCCGUGGAAUACAUACCCAUCACCUUCUGAGUCUCACUUCCUACAACUGAUGUUAGCUUAGACUACACACUCAGUCCUGACACAAAUCUUUCUUUCGUUUAUUGGCAGCAAAUCAUGUUCCCUAAUAAAUAAACGUGUACAUUUAUGAACGUUCAUGAAACUUUUAAAGACAAGUUUCUCUAACUUCUUCAUGCCUAGGAAGGCCAUAAAAGAGCAACUUCAUAGCUAGGUCAGCAAGGUAAGGUGAAGUUUUUUUGUUGUUGUUUGUUCGUUUGUUUUUGUCCUCAGAGAACCACCCUCCACACACACCACCAGCACCAGCACCAGUUGUGACAACCAAAAAUGUCCCCAGAUAUCGCCAAAUGUCUCCUGGGAGGCAAAAUCACUCCUCACAUUUUACUUGUUGGGGAUUUUAACCACAUGGCAGCAACUUCCAGUAAGAAGCUUAAAAAUUUCCCAGCUAAAGAAAUGCUGGUGGUGGCAGGAGUGGUGGGAGACGGGGGAGGGGUGGUGGAAAUAACAUUUGAUUUCUGAAAACUCCAGACAAGCCAUGGAAGUUUACAUUUCAGAUUGUUUAAAGAAAAGUGCAUCAUGGGAGAUCUUAGGGUGAAUCAAUGGAGAUAAUUCUAGAGGAAGUCAGAACUGGCCUGUUCUUGAGGUGGGAGGAGACAUUGGUUUAUCUGUUGAGAAUUUCUCAAGUAUAGCGUGACUUUCUUCCUCCUUUCCUUUCUUUUCCGUUCUUUUUUUUCCUUUCUUUUUUCUUUUAUUUCCUUUUUUUUUUUUUUUUUUUUUAAUGAGACAGGGUCUUGCUCUGUGGCCCAAGCUGGAGUGCAGUGGUGCAAUCACAGCUCACUUUAACCUCUAACCCCUAGAUUCAAGCAAUCCUCCCACCUCGGCCUGCCAAAGCAUUGGGAUUAGAGGUAUGAGCCACUGCGCCUGGCCUUUCUUUCUUUUUUGAAGCACAAGGACCAGUGGAGAAAAAGUGAAUUUAUAUCAUGAGUAUUAACAAUCAUACAGUCACUUGCCAGGGUCUUCUGUUUUCUGUUAGCAGGUGAAAAGUGAAAGGAGAAAAUGCAGGCAGUGGCAGCCGAUUUUAGCUCCCCAUCUAGCCAUGUCAUUUAUAACCAGAGUCAUUUGAAACCUCCCAUUGCGGGAUUCAAUGAACUCAAAUGACUGCCCCAAAAUACUGACCACGUCUACAUAACAGCAAACAUAGGUUUGGCAUGACAUUGAUCAGGGCCUGAAAUCUUGGCCAGCGGCUUCCCGACUUCCACGUGGAAUCCUCCUUAAAACAAAUGCUUAGGGCAGAUGUUUGUCUGAAAUGAAUGCAGACACACAGGCGGAUGCACAGCUUUCUCACACACACACACACACACACCCACAUUAGUAAUUACAUAAGGUAAUUACUUUGCACCAACCUAAUAUGAGUUUUUUCAAGGACCCUGGAAGUAGUCUGCAUCCACCUAGGACAAACCUUCUCUUCCUUGACCAUCUACAAAAGUGCACGGGAAAAGACCACUGUCUGGAGACUUAGUGGCCUGAGUUUGUUCUCUGUUCCAUCAGGAAUGGACAGGUACUUUAAGUUCUGGGGCCUCAUUUUCUUCUGCCCUGACAUAAGGGAAAAAAGUAGGCCAGAUGAUUUUUGAAGUUCUAAAGGCAGCUCCAGCCGGGUGCAGUGGCACUCACCUGUAGUCUCAGCUACUCAGGAAGUUGAGAUGGGAGAAUGGCUUGAGCCAAGGAGUUCAAGACCAGCCUGGGCAACAUAGCAAGAUCCCAUCUUAAAAAAUAAUAAUAAUAAUAAAUAAAGGCAGCUCUACAAGCACAGUGAACUAUUAACACAGAGUAGGGCUUGGCGUCUGCCAGUGUGGAUUGAAAUCUUUGCUCCAUGCUUCUAAACAGUGCAACCAUGAGACUGUUGCUUGCUUUCUUUUGAAAACGAUAAAGAAUACCUAUGUCACAGAUUCCUGUAAGAAUUGAAUUCUUUAAACAUAUAUAAAGCAUCUGACUUAAGAAAUAUGUCAUAAUGCUAGUACCCUCCUUCUUAAAAUGCUAUGAUUUCAAACAUCAAGGAAUCUGGGAAGUUUGCCUUUUUGGAGCACAACUAGACAAUUCUGUCCAAAAUAUUUCCCACUAUAACUUAUUACUCAUUGGAGGAUCAGUAUAAACAUUUAGGUCAAUACCACUGAAAAAUACUCAUGAGACAGAAGUAUUGCAUAGUCCAUGUCUUAUGUGAGAUAUUUUAGAUACUUUUUCUUUCUUGU